rnacentral:rRNA from 1 species
GCGCCGGCGAUGUUUCAUUCAAAUUUCUGCCCUAUCAACUUUCGACGGUAGGGUAGUGGCCUACCGUGGUGGUAACGGGUAACGGAGGAUUAGGGUUCGAUUCCGGAGAGGGAGCCUGAGAAACGGCUACCACAUCCAAGGAAGGCAGCAGGCGCGCAAAUUACCCAAAUCCCAACUCGGGGAGGUAGUGACAAGAAAUAACGAUGCUCCGGCCAUCGGUCGGGUAAUCGGAAUGAGGACAAUUUAAAUCCCUUAUCGAGGAUCAAUUGGAGGGCAAGUCUGGUGCCAGCAGCCGCGGUAAUUCCAGCUCCAAUAGCGUAUAUUUAAGUUGCUGCGGUUAAAAAGCUCGUAGUCGGAUUUCGGGUGGUGCCUACCGGUCCGCCUUUGGUGUGUACUGGUAGGCGCCACCUUUCUGCCGAGGACGGGUUCCUGGGCUUAACUGUCUGGGGCCCGGAGUCGGCGACGUCACUUUGAGUAAAUUAGGGUGUUUAAAGCAGGCUUAUGCUCUGUAUACACUAGCAUGGGAUGACACGAUAGGACUUCGGUCUAUCUUGUCGGUCUGUAGAUCGGAGUAAUGAUUAAGAGGGACAGUCGGGGGCAUUCGUAUUUCGUAGUCAGAGGUGAAAUUCUUGGAUUUACGGAAGACGAACUUCUGCGAAAGCAUUUGCCAAGGAUGUUUUCAUUGAUCAAGAACGAAAGUCGGGGGCUCGAAGACGAUUAGAUACCGUCGUAGUCUCGACCAUAAACGAUGC